rnacentral:rRNA from 1 species
UACGUAGGGUGCGAGCGUUGUCCGGAAUUAUUGGGCGUAAAGAGCUCGUAGGCGGCCUGUCGCGUCGGAUGUGAAAGCCCGGGGCUUAACCCCGGGUCUGCAUUCGAUACGGGCAGGCUAGAGUGUGGUAGGGGAGAUCGGAAUUCCUGGUGUAGCGGUGAAAUGCGCAGAUACCAGGAGGAACACCGGUGGCGAAGGCGGAUCUCUGGGCCAUUACUGACGCUGAGGAGCGAAAGCGUGGGGAGCGAACAGG